UGUUGGGCCUCACGCAACAUGGCUUUGUGAAACCCGUCAGAUCCGGAAGGAAGCAGCGGUAGCGAAAUCCCAUGUGUGCUGUGAGAUCCCCAGCAAUU
rnacentral:SRP_RNA from 1 species